UGAAUGUUUCAGAUAAUAAUUCGUAUUCAAAAUUUGCGGAAAGUUUCAAACCAAAUAACAAACAUCCGGUUUCAUAAAAGAAGGAAGCGGAAGAAAAUCUCAAGAAUGGGUAUGCUGAGCAUACGAGGUCAGAAACCCCAAAUGAAAAUUAACAUGAAGCACUACCUUACAACAUCUGUACCAUUUGAUUCAGCAGCCUUUUCAAGUGCUUGUUCACUCAGACUAAGACGUCUAACUUUACCAGGUUCGACUUUAAGUGCCUCUUUCAAGCCAUUCUUGGGUUUUCCUGCAUGAAUGGCAAUCAGACGUUUGUAUUCAGGUGCAGCCAGUUGGCAUGAUUCAGGAUCACAGCUCAUGACAUCAUAAUCCUGAUUGAUUGCACUUGCAUCACUAUCAUUCUGUAAACCAGUAGAACAAGAUUUCAAGUGACCACCUUAGAAUACACGCAUAAAAUUUAGGUUAAAUACAUAGCCAUUAUGUAAUUCAUUUCAGUUCAAAGCUAACCUUCUCGUCAUCUUUUUCAUCAGCUGUCUCUUCUGCCUCCUUUCCCCGUGCAUCAUCAUCAGAAUCAUUUUCCUUCUCCGAGUUACUUCUUCUGUUUUUACGAUUAGCUUCAAGGUACUCUUUUGGAGGUUUAGUUGAAAUUAUAAUCCGGUGCUUUAGCUUUUCUGGGGAAGGGAACUCUUCUAACGAUUCAGAUUCAGGGUAAAAUAGUGUACCUUCAAACGUUUGAAUAAGCAUCUACAGGAGUAUAAUUUCCUAAUCAGUAAAAUAUAGUCAUAAGUAAGAUUAGUGGUUAGAACUUCAUGGGAGAAAAAGAACCUUCGCAACUUUAGCUUGGAGAUGUGGGUCAAGAUGGUCUUCAAGAACAAUUAUGACAGGAUAUGGUGAUUUAGAAAAAGCAUACUUUUUAAUUGACCUCAAACAUGUAACGAGCUCCACUGGAGAUGUCAAGGUUCUAGAUAAGAAACACAGAUCAAGGAUUGCUCAGGGAGGAUAAAAGAAAUUGAAAGGAAACCACAAAAAGAUCUUGCAAUGAGAUUUCUCUAAAUAUGAAAAGUACUAGCUCGACCCUAUAAGCAAGCAACAAGCAAAGCCCUAAACAAUAAUCAAUUGGAAGGUAAAAACAACUGUAGAUCUCUAAGCCAAUGGCCUUAAUUUCUAAGGUAUUCCCUUUCUCCAUACGGGGAAAAAAAAAAGAGCAAAGCUAUUCCUUUCCAUCCAAAAAAUGGAGUUCAAAAAACGAUCACCUUUCAUGGAAAACUAGCACAUCGUCUUUUACAGAAUUUGGCCAUAUAUCAAGUUCAAUGACUCUCACACCCCUCUGCAGCGCCUUUAUUAUCGGAACAUCACUGGUAUCGCUAGUGAGCUCGUUUCCUGUCAAAUAUGAAUUGUGCCCGGUAUAUACAAAAUAGUGAGACAAAGGAGCAUUCAUGUCAUGGUCGACCUGUAUGUGAGAUAUAGUUAGAUACCUAGCAUGGCUCGAUGACUGUAGACGAAAUGUAACAACGUAAAACCAUCUCAGCUUUCUGAUUUGGUGCUAGAUCAUGGUAAUUUAGAAAUACAAACAUUAUCUUUCUCAUGCCAAUUUCUCCACUAGCAUCAAAAUCACGAAGUUCCUCAGAUUUAAAACUAAUGAUAAACAUUAACAAACACUCCUCGACCUUUCAUUUUAUUUUUCCUCCAUAUUUCUCAGAAACCAAAGAGAAAAAUCCAAGACAAAACAAGUACUCGCCUGAUUACCAAUGGGAGGAUUGAGACUGGCAGAGAACAAGUAAUGAUGGAAGUCAUCGAGAGUCAGAGUGUUGUUCUGAGUUUUCCUUGUGAAGUUAGGAAUGUGGCGAUGCCCCCUCAGCAGGACGGCCUCGACGAUCCUCUUGGCUUCGGCCAGCGUUGUGCCGCCUUCCUCUUGGAACUCCACCAUAAACCGCCGCAGCUGCUCGACACUCAUCUCGGUCCCACCUUGAGCAUACCUCUCAAAAGCCUCCUUCACUCCCUCCGGUGGGCCUGCUUCUGUCACUCGGAGUUUACUUCUGAACCAGCCCCUUGUUCUAUAGCUUGCCUCCAUCUCUGUCUCUCACGCCAUGUGCUUCUGCAACUUUUUUCCGGUGAAGUCACUCAGGUUCACUGCCCGACAGAUUAGGGUUUGCGGGCAAUUAGAGAUUAAUCCAGUUAUCUUUCUUGCAGGUGGAUGAAUUAUGCAGAAGAAGUCAAAGCACAUAGCAGAUGGGGCCUCUGUCUCUGUCUUGCACUCGCUCACUGCAGAACUGGCCCUUAAAAAACAUAAAUAAAUAAAUAGGAAGCUUCAUUCCACAUUUUCUUCAUAUUUUCAAUGAGUCUCUGUACAUUUCAUUGUUUUUUUUUUUUUUUUUUUUUCUUAUUAAUAAAUCUGUUAAAAAUAAUAAAUAUCCACGUCAGCAGAACCACUUGACUUCGAAGUCUCCCUCUUGCGACAUAGCUGUCAUUAAAUUCAUGAUACAUAAUUUAACAUGACGUGCUAAAUUGGUAGGGAAAUGUGAAUAUUAAAUUCCUCCUAAAAAUUAAAUAAAUAAUUGAAAUGACUUGAAAAACUUUUAGUUUAAACUUUGCCCCAUCCAUGAUCCACUGUCUUCGUAAAACCCUUUUAAUGUUUUUCAGUUACUCUUUUUAUCUUUUCACAAAUAAUUUCUUAUUCAGAUGGUUAAUUAAAUGAGUAGAUGGCAGAUGUUGAAUAUACAGAAGGGUUGAUUUCUGAUUCCUAAUUAAAGGUAGUAAAUGCAAAAAUUUUACUGUAUAUGUAUUAAUGGAUAAGUACUAACUCUUGGUUUAAAUAUAUAUAUAUAUUUUUUAAAAGUAUCCAGAAUAUUUAUUAUUUCUCUGCUUUCUGCAAUGUAGGCCUAACGAAUUUAAAUCUGCGAUUCCUCCUCAAAACUUGCUUUAUUUUCUCUAUGCCUCGUGCCUUGUACACCUCCUUCAUCACCAUGGAACCCUCAAUGAUCAAGAACUGUGUUACAGCUUUAUGCCUGACACGCCUCUACUCCCGGAGUUGACUGCAACAUUAUUUGGCGGAAUGCUGGAAAUUCCCAUCUUAAUAAUUGUCCCAAUUACGUAAUUUUAUAAAGCAAAUAAUACCAAGGGAGCAUGAAACAAGGACAAACGAAUCCCUGCUUCGCGCUUUCUUUUCAUGUCUAAAAGUAACCUCUUCGCAAGAAAACAGUAGAAAGAAUUUAAGAGAAAAAAAAAAAAAAACAGCAGCCAAGAUUGAAUAUAAGCCAGCAAAUGGACACCUGAACAAGUUACAAAAAAAAAAAAAUCAUCUGAAGUGUCCCUACAUCACAAAAGCUACUCCUAGUGCACAAAUUCAAAGUGCAUAAGAAGCCUCACUGAUUUGAGCAUAACUCCCUUACGGUCAUAGAGUGGAACUGCACGAAUUCCCGUCUUCAAUUCAGAGACUGGCAAACAAGUUUGGCCACCGAAAUCAUCCUUCUCAUGCAUGUCAUAUUCAUGGACCUCAAUCCGAAGCAAGGCCAAUUCAGGAACAGUCAAUGGAAAUGUGAACUCUUCAUUCCAAACAGGAGUCCACUGAUCCAGUUUCGUUUUUGUUUUCUUCAUUACCUUGUCAGCAGGUACACCUGCUAUGCCGAUCUGCAAAACAAAUUAAAGAUCAAGUCACCAAGUGUUUAAAACAAUUUCAUUCUUGAGCAGCAAGCUGAGGCUUGGCUUUUAAAUGCAAAAAUCUUGAAAUAAGACCAGAGGGUUUCUGGGGGAAAAAUAAAGUCCUGUGUAAUGAAUGUCAACUUACCCUAGUAUAGAAAUCCGGAGGAGAAUACGUAUCAAAGUGUGUCUUUUUAAAAUCUAAAUGCCAACCAUCUCCCAUAUAGACUUUCACCUGUUAAAUAACAAAUAAGAUAUUAAAUAAAAGAAGUUGGGAGGCAGAACAAAUUUAACUUCAAAAUAUUCACCUUUAAAGUUUUUUUCACAGACAAUUUUGCUCUAGGAUUAAAAACUUCACCAUGUGGGCCAACAUUCAUUAGAAAAUCAGGCUUUUUCACAUAGCCGCACCCCCCAUUUGAUUUGAACAUUCCAUGCAUCAUCCAGAGGUAUUUACCAUAUCCCUGCCAUUGGACUUAAACUUGUUGAUAUUUGGAAAUAAAAAAAUUAUUGUAAUGCAUGUAAACUAAUUAACAUUCAAUUCAAAGUUAAAGAUGGCACCUCCUUGGUGCCUUGUAGAUAAUAAGUCUAUGUCGCUUUUUUUUUAAAAAAAUGAAAGAAGAAAAAGAAGAAGAAGAAGCUAUCUAAGCCAAAAUUAACAUUACAAAUUUGGAUAACUUCCUUCUUCCUGCCAUUUCUUCUAGUUUACCAUCAAUAGAUUACUUUGCUUGUCUAUUCAAAAUCUGCAAGCAAUAAAUGAAGAAGCAAGUUCAAGCUUACCAAUGAUCCCCUUCCAAAUUUCCAGUUCCUUUGUUUCCUUUGUUUAGUCUUAUAAAGUUUCUUGCAUUUUAUUAGACUUUCUUAACUGGUGAAUAACAUUCUGCAUACAGUAGCAACCUUAAGGUUAGCUGGAGAAAAUAUCUAUUGAAUUUGUGGAAUUCAUUUGCAAAACCAAGUCCAACUACAAGAUGAUAAAAAAUGGCAUAAUUUGGAAAUUCUACAUAUAUUGGAAGCAAUUAACUCCAAAUUUCACCUACCAAUUAUUGUUUCAGUGAGAAUUUUUACCAUCUUCUAGUUAAACUAAGUGUGGAUUUACAAACGAACUGGACAAAAUUCUGGAUUUGUCCCAAAUACUGCCUAAGUUCUAGGUGGGAAACUGGAAACUUCUAGCUUAAGAUCCAGGACUUGACUUGAUCCUUGGCAGACGAGAAUAAUACUAAGAAUGGCUAUUCUGAGGUCAAAUAUAGCUUUUUAGCUUUUGAAGAAGAUUCAGUUGGAUUGAUAGAACAAAUGAAGAUCAGCAUCUCCAGCAUCCUUAUUAGAAAGCAACCAAAGCUAUAAAAUACUGAGAUCUCUAAGGUGUAUAUCAACGCUAAAUUCAUUGUCUGAAAACCCUACAACCUUAUUUCAAUAUGGUAAUAAGAUCUUAAAAUUUUAGCAGAUCAGAAAGGACAGAGAAAUUUUUCUGAAGCAUAAAUGCUAAACCGUAUGCAAUGAGCGUGGAGCUCUGAUGUAGAAUAUAUGAUUUCUUGACCUAGUAAACUCAAAAAUGAAAAAAAAAUAUUAAAAAAAGUGAAGGUAGAGACAAAACCUGCAUGUUAAAUGCAACCAUUUGAGCUCCAUGCAUCCAACCAAUUAGUGGGUUGUAGUUAGAGGAAUUAAACCGAGUACCUUUGGGGUAUAUCCUCAAAAAGUUCUUCUGAGUAAAUCUGAAUGUUUCAGAUAAUAAAUCAUAUUUAAAAUUUUGUGGAAAGUCUCAAACCUGAUAACUACUAUCCGGUUCCAUAAAAGGAAAGAAGUAGAAGAAAAUCUCAAGAAUGUAGAUGCUGAGCAUAUAAUGUCAGAAACCCCGAAAUAAAAAUUAAUAUGAAAAACUACCUCACAACAUCUGUACCAUUUGAUUCAGCAGCCUUUUCAAGUGCUUGUUCACUCAGACUAAGACGUCUAACUUUACCAGGUUCGACUUUAAGCGCCUCUUUCAAGCCAUUCUUGGGUUUUCCUGCAUGAAUGGCAAUCAGAUGUUUGUAUUCAGGUGCAGCCAGUUGGCAUGAUUCAGGAUCACAGCUCAUAACAUCAUAAUCCUGAUUGAUUGCACUUGCAUCGCU
rnacentral:lncRNA from 1 species